UACAGAGGUCCCAAGCGUUACUGAGAAUCACUGGGUUUAAAGGGUGCGUAGGUGGUCCGUUAAGUCAGUUGUGAAAUCCCCGGGCUCAACCCGGGAACUGCUUCUGAUACUGGCGGACUUGAGGCCAGUAGGGGUCACUAGAACUGACGGUGGAGCGGUGAAAUGCGUAGAUAUCGUCAGGAAUGCCGGCGGUGAAGACGGGUGACUGGGCUGGUUCUGACACUGAGGCACGAAAGCGUGGGGAGCGAACGGG
rnacentral:rRNA from 1 species